GUUACUUUGGCAGAAUAGUGCAAUGGAUUUAGAAUCUUUAAAUGUAUAUAAUACAGGUAAUA
rnacentral:tRNA from 1 species